rnacentral:rRNA from 1 species
UACGGAGGGUGCGAGCGUUGUCCGGAAUCAUUGGGCGUAAAGGGCGCGUAGGUGGCCCGGUCAGUCUUUGGUGAAAGCCCGGGGCUCAACCCCGGGAGGCGGGUGGAUACUGUCAAGCUCGAGUCCGGAAGAGGAGUGUGGAAUUCCUGGUGUAGCGGUGAAAUGCGCAGAUAUCAGGAGGAACACCGGUGGCGAAGGCGGGUCUCUGGGCCGAUGACUGACGCUGAGGAGCGAAAGCGUGGGGAGCGAACAGG